rnacentral:lncRNA from 1 species
ACACAGAAAGUAAAUGAAGAAAAAAGUUAGCACUGAAGUACAAUGCAUACUCCUUAGGUUCUUAAACUCUACCAGUCUAACAGAAAGCACCAAGAUACAGAUGCCAAAGUCAGAAAAAAUACAAAGCAGCUCAGAAUCAAUAUCAUAUAUCUUAUUCAAGGUAAAUUUUAUGUUAGAUUCUUUGUCUGGCAUUUGGGAGGCUAAAUUAACUUAGGAGGCUAGAGAUCCCAUCUCUACUUUUUUUUUCUUUUUGAGAUGGAGUCUUGCUCUGUUGCCCAGGCUGGAGUGCAGCGGCAUGAUCUCGGCUCACCGCAAGCUCCGCCUCGCCGCUUGACGCCAUUCUCCUGCUUCAGCCUCGGAGUAGCUGGGACUACAGGAGAAUCACUUGAACCUGGGAGGCGGAGGUUGCAGCGAGCGGAGGUUGCAGUGAGCCAAGAUCGCGCCAUUGCACUCCAGCCUGGGAGACAAGAGUGAAACUCCAUCUCAAAAAAAUAAAAAAUAA